GCGCCUGUAGCUCAGCAGGAUAGAGCAACGGCCUUCUAAGCCGUGGGUCGGGGGUUCGAAUCCCUUCGGGCGUG
rnacentral:tRNA from 1 species